GAUGAACGCUGGCGGCGUGCCUAAUACAUGCAAGUCGAGCGAACAGACGAGGAGCUUGCUCCUUUGACGUUAGCGGCGGACGGGUGAGUAACACGUAGGUAACCUACCUAUAAGACUGGGAUAACUUCGGGAAACCGGAGCUAAUACCGGAUAAUAUUUCGAACCGCAUGGUUCGAUAGUGAAAGAUGGCUUUGCUAUCACUUAUAGAUGGACCUGCGCCGUAUUAGCUAGUUGGUAAGGUAACGGCUUACCAACGCAACGAUACGUAGCCGACCUGAGAGGGUGAUCGGCCACACUGGAACUGAGACACGGUCCAGACUCCUACGGGAGGCAGCAGUAGGGAAUCUUCCGCAAUGGGCGAAAGCCUGACGGAGCAACGCCGCGUGAGUGAUGAAGGUCUUCGGAUCGUAAAACUCUGUUAUUAGGGAAGAACAAACGUGUAAGUAACUGUGCACGUCUUGACGGUACCUAAUCAGAAAGCCACGGCUAACUACGUG
rnacentral:rRNA from 1 species